rnacentral:rRNA from 1 species
UUGCAGGCUGCAACUCGCCUGCACGAAGUUGGAAUUGCUAGUAAUCGUGGAUCAGCAUGCCACGGUGAAUACGUUCCCGGGUCUUGUACACACCGCCCGUCACACCAUGGGAGCCGGUAAUACCCGAAGUCAGUAGUCUAACCGCAAGGAGGACGCUGCCGAAGGUAGGAUUGGCGACUGGGGUGAAGUCGUAACAAGGUACC